AGUGAACGCUGGCGGUAGGCCUAACACAUGCAAGUCGAACGGCAGCACAGUAAGAGCUUGCUCUUACGGGUGGCGAGUGGCGGACGGGUGAGGAAUACAUCGGAAUCUACUUUUUCGUGGGGGAUAACGUAGGGAAACUUACGCUAAUACCGCAUACGACCUACGGGUGAAAGCAGGGGAUCUUCGGACCUUGCGCGAUUGAAUGAGCCGAUGUCGGAUUAGCUAGUUGGCGGGGUAAAGGCCCACCAAGGCGACGAUCCGUAGCUGGUCUGAGAGGAUGAUCAGCCACACUGGAACUGAGACACGGUCCAGACUCCUACGGGAGGCAGCAGUGGGGAAUAUUGGACAAUGGGCGCAAGCCUGAUCCAGCCAUACCGCGUGGGUGAUGAAGGCCUUCGGGUUGUAAAGCCCUUUUGUUGGGAAAGAAAAGCAGCAGGUUAAUACCCCGCUGUUCUGACGGUACCCAAAGAAUAAGCACCGGCUAACUUCG
rnacentral:rRNA from 1 species